rnacentral:rRNA from 1 species
UACCGGAUAACAACACUAGACGCAUGUCUAGAGUUUGAAAGAUGGUUCUGCUAUCACUCUUGGAUGGACCUGCGGUGCAUUAGCUAGUUGGUAAGGUAACGGCUUACCAAGGCAAUGAUGCAUAGCCGAGUUGAGAGACUGAUCGGCCACAUUGGGACUGAGACACGGCCCAAACUCCUACGGGAGGCAGCAGUAGGGAAUCUUCCACAAUGGACGAAAGUCUGAUGGAGCAACGCCGCGUGAGUGAAGAAGGGUUUCGGCUCGUAAAGCUCUGUUGGUAGUGAAGAAAGAUAGAGGUAGUAACUGGCCUUUAUUUGACGGUAAUUACUUAGAAAGUCACGGCUAACUACGUGCCAGCAGCCGCGGUAAUACGUAGGUGGCAAGCGUUGUCCGGAUUUAUUGGGCGUAAAGCGAGUGCAGGCGGUUCAAUAAGUCUGAUGUGAAAGCCUUCGGCUCAACCGGAGAAUUGCAUCAGAAACUGUUGAACUUGAGUGCAGAAGAGGAGAGUGGAACUCCAUGUGUAGCGGUGGAAUGCGUAGAUAUAUGGAAGAACACCAGUGGCGAAGGCGGCUCUCUGGUCUGCAACUGACGCUGAGGCUCGGAAGCAUGGGUAGCGAACAGGAUUAGAUACCCUGGUAGUCCAUGCCGUAAACGAU